rnacentral:rRNA from 1 species
ACGCAUCGCGACCCCUCGAAAUCGGUAGACGUUACG